rnacentral:tRNA from 1 species
GGGGCCUUAGCUCAGCUGGGAGAGCGCCUGCUUUGCACGCAGGAGGUCAGCGGUUCGAACCCGCUAGGCUCCACCA